UACGGGGGGAGCAAGCGUUGUUCGGAUUUACUGGGCGUAAAGGGCGCGUAGGCGGUCGUGACAAGUCACUUGUGAAAUCUCCGGGCUUAACUCGGAACGGUCAAGUGAUACUGUCGGACUAGAGUACAGAAGGGGCAACUGGAAUUCUCGGUGUAGCGGUGAAAUGCGUAGAUAUCGAGAGGAACACCUGCGGCGAAGGCAGGUUGCUGGGCUGAUACUGACGCUGAGGCGCGAAAGCCAGGGGAGCGAACGGG
rnacentral:rRNA from 1 species